rnacentral:lncRNA from 1 species
UUGACGGGAAAGUUUACUGUAUCAUACUCGUAUCGUAUGCUCAGUAAUAAAUUAGUUAUAUAUAUUUUUUAAAAAAUAAUAAUAAAAAUAUUUUUAUAUUAAUUAUGAUGGGAUGGAUAAAUUUAAAAAAUAUUAUUUUAUUGGUCGCAAACGUCAUCUCAGUAAUAUAACUAAUGCAUUUAAAAAAAUAAAAUAAAAUUUCUGAAGGAGAUUCCGUCAGCAAAUCUGAAAGUUCAUAAUUUCUUGAGAAUUGUCAAAAUUUCCGGAGUGAUAUAUGUGUGAAGACUGAAAAUUACAAAUAAGUGUGAUGACAUACAUUAGAAGGGUCUUUUUAAUUCACGAAAUGCGUACAUAUUUGUAAUACACUGAACUUUUGCAAAUUACGGAGUUCGAGUAUGUGGAAUAGUGCGUGGAUCACUCCUACAUGUUCUAAAAGAUUAGAACAAGUUUUUGGAUAAGUUUGAGGAUGAUUGGAAUGCUAAAAGUGAGAAAUUGCAUUGAACUGGCGAAAAUCAGCCUUUUUCUGCUUGCUGUACCGGUACAGCCAUCACCUUGUACCGGUACAAGCUGGCAGAUUCGU